rnacentral:rRNA from 1 species
AGUCUGUGACCUUGAGUCGUGGGUUCCAAAGCUAACGCAUUAAAUAGACCGCCUGGGGAGUACGGCCGCAAGGUUAAAACUCAAAUGAAUUGACGGGGGCCCGCACAAGCGGUGGAGCAUGUGGUUUAAUUCGAUGCAACGCGAAGAACCUUACCUACUCUUGACAUCCAGCGAACUUGGUAGAGAUACCUUGGUGCCUUCGGGAACGCUGAGACAGGUGCUGCAUGGCUGUCGUCAGCUCGUGUUGUGAAAUGUUGGGUUAAGUCCCGCAACGAGCGCAACCCUUAUCCUAUGUUGCCAGCACUUCGGGUGGGAACUCAUGGGAGACUGCCGGUGAUAAACCGGAGGAAGGUGGGGACGACGUCAAGUCAUCAUGGCCCUUACGAGUAGGGCUACACACGUGCUACAAUGGUCGGUACAAAGGGUUGCCAACUCGCGAGAGUGCGCCAAUCUCAUAAAGCCGGUCGUAGUCCGGAUCGGAGUCUGCAACUCGACUCCGUGAAGUCGGAAUCGCUAGUAAUCGUGGAUCAGAAUGCCACGGUGAAUACGUUCCCGGGCCUUGUACACACCGCCCGUCACACCAUGGGAGUGGGUUGCUCCAGAAGUAGAUAGCUUAACCUCGGGAGG